UAGAAUUAUACAGAGUAAAGUUCCUCUUCACAUUUUUUAACUUUAUUAUUCAAUUUUUCUCAAGUGAAUGCAAUUAUUUCUGAUGCCAACUUGUGUGUAAACCCCAAAUUGGAUCCCCCAAGUGAUUUGCAGGCCAAACUUCUCAGACAGGUGGUUCUUGCUGGUCUGGUUGAUCAUGUAGCCAAGAAAUGUCCUGAUCCACCCCCAGAUGCAGAUGAAGAAGCAAAAAAAUUGAAGCAUGCUUACUAUUGCACAGAACUGGAGGAACCUGUGUUCAUCCAUCCCCUCUCUGUGCUACACAAAAAAAAACC